GUCCAGGGGCGGGAAUCGAACCCACAACCUUCUGCUUACCGGGCAGGUGCCAUGUCCACUAGGAUACCCUGGA
rnacentral:tRNA from 1 species